AGUGAACGCUGGCGGUAGGCCUAACACAUGCAAGUCGAACGGCAGCACAGUAAGAGCUUGCUCUUACGGGUGGCGAGUGGCGGACGGGUGAGGAAUACAUCGGAAUCUACUUUUUCGUGGGGGAUAACGUAGGGAAACUUACGCUAAUACCGCAUACGACCUACGGGUGAAAGCAGGGGAUCUUCGGACCUUGCGCGAUUGAAUGAGCCGAUGUCGGAUUAGCUAGUUGGCGGGGUAAAGGCCCACCAAGGCGACGAUCCGUAGCUGGUCUGAGAGGAUGAUCAGCCACACUGGAACUGAGACACGGUCCAGACUCCUACGGGAGGAAGCAGUGGGGAAUAUUGGCCAAUGGGGGCAAGCCUGAUCCAGCCAUACCGCGUGGGUGAAGAAGGCCUUCGGGUUGUAAAGCCCUUUUGUGGGGAAAGAAAAGCGGCAGGUUAAUACCCCGCUGUUCUGACGGUACCCAAAGAAUAAGCACCGGCUAACUUCGU
rnacentral:rRNA from 1 species